rnacentral:rRNA from 1 species
GACGAACGCUGGCGGCAUGCCUAACACAUGCAAGUCGAACGGUAAGGCUUCCUUCGGGAAGUACACGAGUGGCGAACGGGUGAGUAACACGUGGGUGACCUACCCUUGACUGGGGGACAACCGAGGGAAACUUCGGCUAAUACCGCAUAACGUGCAUUGCCUCAAGGUGGUGUACCAAAGCUCCGGCGGUUAAGGAUGGGCCCGCGGCAGAUUAGCUUGUUGGGGAGGUAAUGGCUUACCAAGCCGACGAUCUGUGGUUGGUUUGAGAGGACGAGCGCCCACCCUGUACCUGGGCCACGGUCCAGACUCCUACGGGAGGAAGCAGUGGGGGAUCUUGCGCAAUGGGCGAAAGCCUGACGCAGCAAUGCCUCGUGAGGGACGACGGUCUUAGGGUUGUAAACCUCUUUCAGCAGGGACGAACACAGACGGUACCUGCAGAAGAAGCCCCGGCUAACUACGUGCCAGCCGCCGCGGUAA